GACGAACGCUGGCGGCGUGCUUAACACAUGCAAGUCGAACGGAAAGGCCCUGCUUUUGUGGGGUGCUCGAGUGGCGAACGGGUGAGUAACACGUGAGUAACCUGCCCUUGACUUUGGGAUAACUUCAGGAAACUGGGGCUAAUACCGGAUAGGAGCUCCUGCUGCAUGGUGGGGGUUGGAAAGUUUCGGCGGUUGGGGAUGGACUCGCGGCUUAUCAGCUUGUUGGUGGGGUAGUGGCUUACCAAGGCUUUGACGGGUAGCCGGCCUGAGAGGGUGACCGGCCACAUGGGGACUGAGAUACGGCCCAGACGCCUACGGGAGGCAGCAGUGGGGAGUAUUGCACAAUGGGCGGAAGCCUGAUGCAGCAACGCCGCGUGCGGGAUGACGGCCUUCGGGUUGUAAACCGCUUUCGCCUGUGACGAAGCGUGAGUGACGGUAAUGGGUAAAGAAGCACCGGCUAACUACGUG
rnacentral:rRNA from 1 species